UACGUAGGGUGCGAGCGUUGUCCGGAAUUAUUGGGCGUAAAGAGCUCGUAGGCGGUGUGUCGCGUCGGCCGUGAAAACCUGGGGCUCAACUCUGGGCGUGCGGUCGAUACGGGCAUCACUUGAGUUCGGCAGGGGAGACUGGAAUUCCUGGUGUAGCGGUGAAAUGCGCAGAUAUCAGGAGGAACACCAGUGGCGAAGGCGGUGCUCUGGGUCGGAACUGACGCUGAGGAGCGAAAGCGUGGGGAGCAAACAGG
rnacentral:rRNA from 1 species